rnacentral:rRNA from 1 species
AGUGAACGCUGGCGGUAGGCCUAACACAUGCAAGUCGAACGGCAGCACAGUAAGAGCUUGCUCUUACGGGUGGCGAGUGGCGGACGGGUGAGGAAUACAUCGGAAUCUACUUUUUCGUGGGGGAUAACGUAGGGAAACUUACGCUAAUACCGCAUACGACCUACGGGUGAAAGCAGGGGAUCUUCGGACCUUGCUCGAUUUAAUGAGCCGAUGUCGGAUUAGCUAGUUGGCGGGGUAAAGGCCCACCAAGGCGACGAUCCGUAGCUGGUCUGAGAGGAUGAUCAGCCACACUGGAACUGAGACACGGUCCAGACUCCUACGGGAGGCAGCAGUGGGGAAUAUUGGACAAUGGGCGCAAGCCUGAUCCAGCAAUACCGCGUGGGUGAAGAAGGCCUUCGGGUUGUAAAGCCCUUUUGUUGGGAAAGAAAAGCAGCAGGUUAAUACCCCGAUGUUCUGACGGUACCCAAAGAAUAAGCACCGGCUAACUUCGUG